CCUACGGGAGGCUGCAGUGGGGAAUAUUGCACAAUGGGCGCAAGCCUGAUGCAGCCAUGCCGCGUGUGUGAAGAAGGCCUUCGGGUUGUAAAGCACUUUCAGCGGGGAGGAAGGCGGUGAGGUUAAUAACCUCAUCGAUUGACGUUACCCGCAGAAGAAGCACCGGCUAACUCCGUGCCAGCAGCCGCGGUAAUCCGGAGGGUGCAAGCGUUAAUCGGAAUUACUGGGCGUAAAGCGCACGCAGGCGGUCUGUCAAGUCGGAUGUGAAAUCCCCGGGCUCAACCUGGGAACUGCAUUCGAAACUGGCAGGCUAGAGUCUUGUAGAGGGGGGUAGAAUUCCAGGUGUAGCGGUGAAAUGCGUAGAGAUCUGGAGGAAUACCGGUGGCGAAGGCGGCCCCCUGGACAAAGACUGACGCUCAGGUGCGAAAGCGUGGGGAGCAAACAGGAUUAGAUACCCUUGUAGUC
rnacentral:rRNA from 1 species